ensembl:lncRNA
CUUUUAAUCGUUGUCUCCUUGGCUUAAUCUGUGAUGGGGGAAAUGGAGAACAUCCUAGGCAGGAGUCUUUUUUUAAGAGAUUCGUACAUUACAGUACUUGUUUAUGUAUGAGGCUUGUAUUAAUAUUUAAAUGAACUCCAUUCGGAUCAGUGUCAUGUGUAAUACAACCAUUUUCACAUUUUCACCCCGGCACAAACUUCAAGUGAUGAUCCGUGCGUCGUAUGAUUGACUAAGCAGCACUUAAGCAGGUGAGGACCCUGUAAAUAAGCUUUUCCCUCAGAAAUGAUCUUGCUUUAGGCCCCUCCCUCCAUCUCGAGCUCUCCGCGGAUGGAUUCUGUCACCUGGAGAUCGCCGUGUUCUGCUUUCUGCAUCCC